UACAUUCUUUUCAUGUCAAAAAUGGGUUUUGAGCAACUUGAAGCUGCACAAAAUAAGCGACAGAAUGCAUGGCAGCAGCUCCAGACAACCAAAGACAAGCCUAACUAAGAAGGUUGGUUUCUUCUCAGGGCGUAAGAAAGAGAGCCUUUUUAAAUCUCCUGAUGAUCCCAAGGGCAAGGUUGGUGUGGCUGGAAGUGGGAAGGGCUUGACAGAGUUCCAGAAGAGGGAGAAGCAUUUGCAUCUCAAGGGUGGAAGCGUUGAGACUGGUGAUUAGAUUCGAUUAGAUUAGAUUAGAGUUGCAUUGUUUUCUUCCUUCCUCAUAACCUUACUCUAUAGGCUUUUGCACCAACUGAUCCAGCAGCAAAGAUACUGAACUUCUGG